UGACCGCUGGCGGCGUGCCUAAUACAUGCAAGUCGCGCGAACGGACGAGAAGCUUGCUUCUCUGAUGUUAGCGGCGGACGGGUGAGUAACACGUGGAUAACCUACCUAUAAGACUGGGAUAACUUCGGGAAACCGGAGCUAAUACCGGAUAAUAUUUUGAACCGCAUGGUUCAAAAGUGAAAGACGGUCUUGCUGUCACUUAUAGAUGGAUCCGCGCUGCAUUAGCUAGUUGGUAAGGUAACGGCUUACCAAGGCAACGAUGCAUAGCCGACCUGAGAGGGUGAUCGGCCACACUGGAACUGAGACACGGUCCAGACUCCUACGGGAGGCAGCAGUAGGGAAUCUUCCGCAAUGGGCGAAAGCCUGACGGAGCAACGCCGCGUGAGUGAUGAAGGUCUUCGGAUCGUAAAACUCUGUUAUUAGGGAAGAACAUAUGUGUAAGUAACUGUGCACAUCUUGACGGUACCUAAUCAGAAAGCCACGGCUAACUACGUG
rnacentral:rRNA from 1 species